AUUGAACGCUGGCGGCAGGCCUAACACAUGCAAGUCGAGCGAGCGGCGGACGGGUGAGUAAUGUAUGGGGACUGCCCGAUAGAGGGGGAUAACUACUGGAAACGGUGGCUAAUACCGCAUACUGUCGGAUAACCCAUAUGGGAUUAGCUAGUAGGUAAGGUAAUGGCUUACCUAGGCGACGAUCCCUAGCUGGUCUGAGAGGAUGAUCAGCGACACUGGGACGUGGACACGGCCAAGAGUCCAAGGGAGGGAGCAGUGGGGAAUAUGGGACAAGGGGCGCGAGCCUGAUGCAGCCAGGCCGAGUGUAUGAAGAAGGCGCUAGGGGUGGAAAGUACGUCCAGUGGGGAUGCGUUACCUACAGAAGAAGCACCGGCUAACUCCGUGCCAGCAGCCGCGGUAAUAC
rnacentral:rRNA from 1 species